rnacentral:rRNA from 1 species
AUUGAACGCUGGCGGCAUGCCUUACACAUGCAAGUCGAACGGCAGCACGGGUGCUUGCACCUGGUGGCGAGUGGCGAACGGGUGAGUAAUACAUCGGAACAUGUCCUGUAGUGGGGGAUAGCCCGGCGAAAGCCGGAUUAAUACCGCAUACGAACUACGGAUGAAAGCGGGGGACCUUCGGGCCUCGCGCUAUAGGGUUGGCCGAUGGCGGAUUAGCUAGUUGGUGGGGUAAAGGCCUACCAAGGCGACGAUCAGUAGCUGGUCUGAGAGGACGACCAGCCACACUGGGACUGAGACACGGCCCAGACUCCUACGGGAGGCAGCAGUGGGGAAUUUUGGACAAUGGGCGAAAGCCUGAUCCAGCAAUGCCGCGUGUGUGAAGAAGGCCUUCGGGUUGUAAAGCACUUUUGUCCGGAAAGAAAUCCUUGGCCCUAAUACGGUCGGGGGAUGACGGUACCGGAAGAAUAAGCACCGGCUAACUACGUG